GGCAGAAUGGCCGAGCGGUCCAAGGCGUGUGACUCAAGUUGAGUACGUAAUCAUCGUGUACAAAACUUGCCCGAUUCGGGUUUCUCAUCAUCGUAUGAUGGCAGGGGUUCGAAUCCCCUUUCUGUCA